ensembl:lincRNA
AUGAACAGCCAUUUGGAGAUUCUGGAAUUGAUGGUUCAGGUUUCUAAAAUCAUGUUUUUAAAUUUUACAAACUCAGAACAAGAAAACUCGUGGUGGCUGGCAAGAUGGCCGAAUAGGAACAGCUCCAGUCUGCAGCCCCCAGUGAGAUCAGCAGAGAAGGUGGGGGUGAUUCCUGCAUUUCCAACUGAGGUAUGGGGCUCAUCUCAUUGGGACGGGUUAGACAGUGGGUGCAGCCCACAGAGGGUGAGGUGAAGCAGGGUGGGGGCAUCGCCUCACCCAGGAAGCUCAAGGGGUUGGGGAACUACCUCCCCUAGCCAAGGGAAGCUGUGAGGGACUGUGCCGUGAGGAAUGGUGCACUCCAGCCCAGAUAUUACACUUUUCCCAUGGUCUUCACAACUCACAGACCAGGAGAUUCCCUUGGAUGCUUACACCACCAGGGCCCUGGGUUUCAAGCAAAAACUGGGUGGCUGUUUGGGCAGACACUGAGCUAGCUGCAGGAGUUUUUUUUCAUACCCCAGUGGUGCCUGGAACGCCAGCAAGACAGAACCAAUCACUCCCCUGGAAACAGGGCUGAAGCCAGC